CUUGCUAAGGCUGAUGGCGACCGGCGCACGGGUGAGUAACACGUAUCCAACCUGCCGUCUACUCUUGGCCAGCCUUCUGAAAGGAAGAUUAAUCCAGGAUGGCAUCAUGAGUUCACAUGUCCGCAUGAUUAAAGGUAUUUUCCGGUAGACGAUGGGGAUGCGUUCCAUUAGAUAGUAGGCGGGGUAACGGCCCACCUAGUCAACGAUGGAUAGGGGUUCUGAGAGGAAGGUCCCCCACAUUGGAACUGAGACACGGUCCAAACUCCUACGGGAGGCAGCAGUGAGGAAUAUUGGUCAAUGGGCGAUGGCCUGAACCAGCCAAGUAGCGUGAAGGAUGACUGCCCUAUGGGUUGUAAACUUCUUUUAUAAAGGAAUAAAGUCGGGUAUGCAUACCCGUUUGCAUGUACUUUAUGAAUAAGGAUCGGCUAACUCCGUGCCAGCAGCCGCGGUAAUACGGAGGAUCCGAGCGUUAUCCGGAUUUAUUGGGUUUAAAGGGAGCGUAGAUGGAUGUUUAAGUCAGUUGUGAAAGUUUGCGGCUCAACCGUAAAAUUGCAGUUGAUACUGGAUGUCUUGAGUGCAGUUGAGGCAGGCGGAAUUCGUGGUGUAGCGGUGAAAUGCUUAGAUAUCACGAAGAACUCCGAUUGCGA
rnacentral:rRNA from 1 species